GACAUCCUCGGGCCUACGUCUCUGAGCUCAUGUGUGAGUUUCCCUGAAGGCUGAAUUCCUAGAACCGGAGUCACUCGGUCGAAGGGCACGUGCAGGGCUGUGCCCUGGGCGAGGAACCAAGUUCACCCGCAGGAAGCGAGCUGGUACAUCUCGCGGACCUUUGAGAAGUCUGUGGACAGGUUCGGAGAGCAAGGAUUGAGGCUUUCUGCCACGAGCCAGCACCAGCUUGGGAGAGAGCCACCCUGCGACACAGAUUCUCCGGCCCCAGUCUUGCUUUCGGAUGACUGCAGCCCAGGCGGACAUCAGAAGACUCUGGACCGGCACUGAAAAUAGUUCAGCCGCUUCCUAAUUCCUGACCUGCAUAAACCAUGAGAUAAACAAAUGCGCAUUGUUGUUCUUA